UUUUUGAAUUGAAUUUCUUUAUUGAGUCUUUUAGGUUACAGUUGCUGUCUUAGUCUAAAAAUAACAAUUCUUUACUACUUUACUUAAGUUAAACUGGCGGCUAUAAUGUAUUGCCUGCUCUUUCAGUUGCUUUGUAAUGAAAAUGAAUACAAUGUUUGCCUCAUGGCGUGAAUAUUAUUAACAUGGAGGAAAAAGGCAUUUAUCGGGGAACACAUUUAUACUUCGAUUGUUGUGUACGAGACGAGAUAAACAUAGAUACACAGAGGGUGUUACAAAAGAAAAAAAAAGAAACUUCAUUAAUGAAGAUAAUGAAUGACAGAUAACAUUGAUUAUUACAAUUAUUUGUUUUAUAAAAUAUUUUUACUUUUGAUUUGUUGUUCAUUUAAUUGUCUUUUACAUUGGUGAUUUUGUAAUUAUUUAUUUUAUAAUAAUACCUGUUAUAUAUUGUUUGAUAAAUACUUGAAUUGUAUUUUAUUUCAAUUAGAAGAUAACUAAAUGAUACUUAUUCUAGUAUUUUUAAGUAGAAAAGGGGUUCCCCCAACGUACACUGUAGUGAAUCGCGGGACGCAAGUGGCGAAUGGAUAAUUAUCCGCGAUUUUGAUUUGGGAUGGCCCUGUUAUAGAACUCUAAAGGUUCUAACACUGGAGCGUCAAGAUCCACUGAGAGUAUUCCGAGUGGUGACAGAUAACCAACGCCGUCCCAAGAGGACC